AGCGAACGCUGGCGGCAGGCUUAACACAUGCAAGUCGAACGGGCAUCUUCGGAUGUCAGUGGCAGACGGGUGAGUAACACGUGGGAACGUACCCUUCGGUUCGGAAUAACUCAGGGAAACUUGAGCUAAUACCGGAUACGCCCUUUUGGGGAAAGGUUUACUGCCGAAGGAUCGGCCCGCGUCUGAUUAGCUUGUUGGUGGGGUAACGGCCUACCAAGGCGACGAUCAGUAGCUGGUCUGAGAGGAUGAUCAGCCACACUGGGACUGAGACACGGCCCAGACUCCUACGGGAGGCAGCAGUGGGGAAUAUUGGAAAAUGGGCGCAAGCCUGAUCCAGCCAUGCCGCGUGAGUGAUGAAGGCCUUAGGGUUGUAAAGCUCUUUUGUCCGGGACGAUAAUGACGGUACCGGAAGAAUAAGCCCCGGCUAACUUCGUG
rnacentral:rRNA from 1 species